GACGAACGCUGGCGGCGUGCUUAACACAUGCAAGUCGAACGGAAAGGCCCUGCUUUUGUGGGGUGCUCGAGUGGCGAACGGGUGAGUAACACGUGAGUAACCUGCCCUUGACUUUGGGAUAACUUCAGGAAACUGGGGCUAAUACCGGAUAGGAGCUCCUGCUGCAUGGUGGGGGUUGGAAAGUUUCGGCGGUUGGGGAUGGACUCGCGGCUUAUCAGCUUGUUGGUGGGGUAGUGGCUUACCAAGGCUUUGACGGGUAGCCGGCCUGAGAGGGUGACCGGCCACAUUGGGACUGAGAGAGGGCCCAGACUCCUACGGGAGGCAGCAGUGGGGAAUAUUGCACAGUGGGCGGAAGCCUGAUGCAGCAACGCCGCGUGCGGGAUGACGGCCUUCGGGUUGUAAACCGCUUUCGCCUGUGACGAGGCGUGAGUGACGGUAAUGGGUAAAGAAGCACCGGCUAACUACGUG
rnacentral:rRNA from 1 species